rnacentral:rRNA from 1 species
AUACGGAGGGUGCAAGCGUUGUUCGGAAUUAUUGGGCGUAAAGCGCGUGUAGGCGGUUUCUUAAGUCUGAUGUGAAAGUCCCGGGCUCAACCUGGGAAGUGCAUUGGAAACUGGGAGACUUGAGUACGGGAGAGGGGUAGUGGAAUUCCUAGUGUAGGAGUGAAAAUCCGUAGAUAUUAGGAGGAACACCGGUGGCGAAGGCGGCUACCUGGACUGAUACUGACGCUGAGACGCGAAAGCGUGGGGAGC